rnacentral:lncRNA from 1 species
UGGAUACUGGUCAGGAAGUGGCUAAUACCAUUUCUUAAAAACACUGUUUCUUCUUUUAUAUAUUGGACUGAAUUUCACCUCAGGCACAAAUGUAAUCCUGUUUUUUGCAGGGCUCUCCUGAAAUUUUGCCAGGAGUCAACAUAAAUUCAAGUAUAAAAAGAUACACUCCUCCUCUCGAUGAAUUUGAGAUUGAUCAUUGUGUUCUCAAGGAUGAGAACUCUGUUGUUUUCCCUGUGGUACCCGGCCCUUCAAUCUUUUUGGUCACAGCAGGCAAUGGAACAAUGAAGUCAGAAGCUGAAGAAAUAGUUUCUGAGGGCGAUGUGAUGUUCGCACCAGCCAACAGUCGUAUCUGUGUCACUGCUGCAUCGGAGUUGCAUCUGUACAGAGCCGGAGUGAAUAGCAGAUUUUUUAGGCUGGACUGACCAAUGCUUUCACCUGUGAUAUUAGUAGUCAUUUUAGCUUCAUAUGGUGUGAGAAUUAAUGCCGUGUCUGUAUGUUAGCAUAUUUAAAAGUAGUUUUUAAUAUAUAAUCCAGUACAAUAAGUUUAAGUAAUACAUCUAUGAGCUAUCUCUGUGCAUAUAUCCCUUCCUAAGUGAUGAAUAGUUGCAUAGGAGAUAUGCAGAUGCACUAGUGUCUGUAUCUGCAUAUGUUCCUGCAGGCUGAAACUAUUGAGUGUGCAACAUAGUUCAUCAAGUUAUUGGAUACCGUAAUAACUUAUAUUGAUGGCAUAAAGGUCUUGUGCCAAUUAUUGCCACAUUGUUGUUCUUCACAAGUUAUGCAAUUUUCACUUCCAGGCUGAUAUAUUUCUGGUGCCCCAGAUUGAUGCAGCAAUUAAAAGGUUCAACAUUGAUAUGGUAGGCUGUCUUCCUUCCUCAAACUUUGAAUAUCUAAUGGCCAGUGUGCUUUAGACUUUCCUUCAUCUAGGCAAGCUUAUGAUGUUAUUGCUGGUGACAGAUUAAAGUCCGAGUCAAGCAUGCAACCUGUCCGGUAAAAGUUAUACUCCCAAGAUUCAAGAAACACCUAAUAAUAUGGUAGUGCAGGCAGGCAUGUAGACUACAAUUAUAUCGGCAUUCUGUGAUUGUAAUUUUUAUUCUUUUUUCUUGAAGAAUAAAAAUGUAAAUGAUAAUAUUGCUUGAAUUGGUUCCUUUAAAGUCAGGGCAUUGCAUUUGUAACCCCGUAUGAAAUAGUACUACAAAUGCUGAUAAAAAAGUACUAGAAGCGCUGAUGAAAAGUUGCACAACCGUGCACCGCUUUGUUCUAAUUUAUUGAUGUUUGCUUCAGAAAAUGGUUGAUGGAGGAAUUGUUAAUAAUUGGAUGUGUGUGAACUUUGCACAAAAUGUUCAAGAUAAUUUGGCUAGCGGGUUUUGUUCAAAACUCGCAUAGAUGUGCACAAUAUCAGGUAUGGUAUAUACCGCAAGACCUCUUUGUCUUGAUGUUCUCUACAUAUUGUCAAGUAUAUGAUAUCAGACAAGAAGAUAUGGCUAGGAUAUCAGACAAAUAUAUAUGGCAAGGGAACAAGAAAAUCACAAGCAGAUAAGAGGACGUGACAAGAAAAUCUCAAGCAGAUAAGAGGACGUGACACGUGACAGGGAAUCUGGUAGCUUUGAAAGAAAUAGAGACAAGGGGAAUUUGAAAUAGUGGGAAAAGACUGCACCCAGAAAUAAUUCAUGUAGAAAAUCAUUAUUGAAAUACAUUAUUGUAAUACUGUAACAAAAACCUGGAUCUCUAUAUAAGAGACCUUAUUGUAAAUCAUCAGUUUUUGGAAUACAACAUCUUAAAUUUCUCUACAUUCAUUCUUCUUAUGGCAAGCUAAACCUCUUCUCCUACAGUCUACAACAGAUAAACAUGUUCAUCAAUAAGAUAUCAUAUACAAAUAUUAUCUAUUUAUCAUUACAUCAGGGACUCCGGUGAUCCAAUCUGUUUGAAUAGUUUGAUUUAUUUUGAUAAAUAAGAUAGGAUUUUUAUAUGAUAUUUAUAAUUCAUGUUAUGCAUGAUAUUGAUGAAGCAUGUUUAGAAGUUAUAGAUUGUAGAUUUUAUUUUAAACAUGUUUGUUUUUGUCGGAAUAUCUAAUUGCCUACCCUCUUUAGGGUUUAACAGAUAUGAGAAACGAUCCCCUAAUAUCUUGGACUGAACUAUAUUUUUCCUGUUUAGCGGUUCGAUCCCAAUCCAGUGCUUCCAGUUACCGGCGCACAGACUGAUCAGGUGGAGAGUGUGCUAAAAUCACGUUUUCAAGAGGUGCAGAAACUGAAGAAGGAGCUUGACCUAUUGAUUCUUAUUCUUCCAGAUAAUAAUGGCUCACUAUGGUAUGUAACCAUUUGAGAAAUUCUGAUUCUGAUAUUUGUAAUGGUCCAGUGCUUUUAUUGAAUGUCUGCGUAAUUGUCUGUCUGUGGUUUUGCUUGCAUUCACACUUCUGUGUAAUGGUAUCUGUCUCACUAAUCGCUGUUUAUGACUAUUCAUGAAGGCGAUCUAAAGAGAAUUUGUGAGACCGACCUUGGAAUAGUUUCACAUUGUUGCUUGACAAAACAUGUCUUCAAGAUGAGCAAGCAACACCUAGCGAAUAUGGCUUUAAAGAUAACGUCAAAGUUGGGGGAAGAAAUACAGUUCUUGUUGAUGCUUUAUCGAGGCGUAUUCCACUUGUCAGUGACCGGCCUACAAGCAUUUUUGGUGCCGAUGUCACCCAUCCUCAUCCUGGAGAAGAUUCCAGCCCCUUAAUUGCAGCAGUAUGAUAUAAAAUUUUAUAGAACUGCUUAUACAUACUUGAGUUAAUGUUUGUAUGUGUUAAUAUGAUUGCCUCUAUUUGACAGGAUUAUGUGUAUAUUAUUAAUUUCUUAUCAUCUAUUGUUGCUUAAAUUUGAUAUGAGAUUUGUUAUAUAAAUUUCAGGUCGUUGCUUCACAAGAUUGGCCAGAGAUAACAAAGUGUGCUGAAUUGGUUUGUGCUCAAGCCCAUAGACAAGAGCUUAUUCAGGAUCUGUACAANUUUAUUUCAGUCUUAGUUGCAUGGUCGGCCUCAAAGCCUACCACCAUCCUGUUUUGCUAGUUACACUAUUUUAUGGAUCGGGGAAUCAAGUUAGAUCUAUAAAUUGAGGUUUUCUAUUAGAAACAAAUGAUAUCUAACAAACACCUGAAUUUGUAUUAUAUGGCAAGUUAUCUGACAUGGUUUUUAUAUCUUGAACAAUGAACAUUAUAUUCUGUUUGUAGAUUGGUUUGAUAUGCUCCCAUUAGCUUUUACCCCUUAAAACGAUAUUUGCCUUUUAAAUACCUGGUUUUCGGUUGUAUCAGGCAAGGGAAUUAACUAGCAAAGAAGCACUAGUUUUGCGUCUGCAAAAGCAGUAUCCAGAUGAUAUUGGCAUCAUAGCGGCCCUGCUUUUUAAUUACAUUAAGCUUAAGCCUGGAGAAGCUUUGUAUCUGGGAGCAAACGAACCUCAUGCAUACAUAUUUGGUGAAUGCAUUGAGUGCAUGGCUACUUCAGAUAAUGUUGUACGAGCUGGGCUUACUCCAAAGAAGCGUGAUACUGAGAUCUUGUGUUCUAUGCUGACAUAUAAACAGGUUUGUAAGAAGCCUCGGAGCUUCACCCCUAGACGUAGGCUGCUUUUCUUAUACAGUAAGAUGGUUGUGGAUACUGGUCAGGAAGUGGCUAAUACCAUUUCUUAAAAACACUGUUUCUUCUUUUAUAUAUUGGACUGAAUUUCACCUCAGGCACAAAUGUAAUCCUGUUUUUUGCAGGGCUCUCCUGAAAUUUUGCCAGGAGUCAACAUAAAUUCAAGUAUAAAAAGAUACACUCCUCCUCUCGAUGAAUUUGAGAUUGAUCAUUGUGUUCUCAAGGAUGAGAACUCUGUUGUUUUCCCUGUGGUACCCGGCCCUUCAAUCUUUUUGGUCACAGCAGGCAAUGGAACAAUGAAGUCAGAAGCUGAAGAAAUAGUUUCUGAGGGCGAUGUGAUGUUCGCACCAGCCAACAGUCGUAUCUGUGUCACUGCUGCAUCGGAGUUGCAUCUGUACAGAGCCGGAGUGAAUAGCAGAUUUUUUAGGCUGGACUGACCAAUGCUUUCACCUGUGAUAUUAGUAGUCAUUUUAGCUUCAUAUGGUGUGAGAAUUAAUGCCGUGUCUGUAUGUUAGCAUAUUUAAAAGUAGUUUUUAAUAUAUAAUCCAGUACAAUAAGUUUAAGUAAUACAUCUAUGAGCUAUCUCUGUGCAUAUAUCCCUUCCUAAGUGAUGAAUAGUUGCAUAGGAGAUAUGCAGAUGCACUAGUGUCUGUAUCUGCAUAUGUUCCUGCAGGCUGAAACUAUUGAGUGUGCAACAUAGUUCAUCAAGUUAUUGGAUACCGUAAUAACUUAUAUUGAUGGCAUAAAGGUCUUGUGCCAAUUAUUGCCACAUUGUUGUUCUUCACAAGUUAUGCAAUUUUCACUUCCAGGCUGAUAUAUUUCUGGUGCCCCAGAUUGAUGCAGCAAUUAAAAGGUUCAACAUUGAUAUGGUAGGCUGUCUUCCUUCCUCAAACUUUGAAUAUCUAAUGGCCAGUGUGCUUUAGACUUUCCUUCAUCUAGGCAAGCUUAUGAUGUUAUUGCUGGUGACAGAUUAAAGUCCGAGUCAAGCAUGCAACCUGUCCGGUAAAAGUUAUACUCCCAAGAUUCAAGAAACACCUAAUAAUAUGGUAGUGCAGGCAGGCAUGUAGACUACAAUUAUAUCGGCAUUCUGUGAUUGUAAUUUUUAUUCUUUUUUCUUGAAGAAUAAAAAUGUAAAUGAUAAUAUUGCUUGAAUUGGUUCCUUUAAAGUCAGGGCAUUGCAUUUGUAACCCCGUAUGAAAUAGUACUACAAAUGCUGAUAAAAAAGUACUAGAAGCGCUGAUGAAAAGUUGCACAACCGUGCACCGCUUUGUUCUAAUUUAUUGAUGUUUGCUUCAGAAAAUGGUUGAUGGAGGAAUUGUUAAUAAUUGGAUGUGUGUGAACUUUGCACAAAAUGUUCAAGAUAAUUUGGCUAGCGGGUUUUGUUCAAAACUCGCAUAGAUGUGCACAAUAUCAGGUAUGGUAUAUACCGCAAGACCUCUUUGUCUUGAUGUUCUCUACAUAUUGUCAAGUAUAUGAUAUCAGACAAGAAGAUAUGGCUAGGAUAUC